GAUGAACGCUGGCGGCGUGCCUAAUACAUGCAAGUCGAGCGAACAGACGAGGAGCUUGCUCCUCUGACGUUAGCGGCGGACGGGUGAGUAACACGUGGAUAACCUACCUAUAAGACUGGGAUAACUUCGGGAAACCGGAGCUAAUACCGGAUAACAUAUUGAACCGCAUGGUUCAACAGUGAAAGACGGUCUUGCUGUCACUUAUAGAUGGAUCCGCGCCGCAUUAGCUAGUUGGUAAGGUAACGGCUUACCAAGGCAACGAUGCGUAGCCGACCUGAGAGGGUGAUCGGCCACACUGGAACUGAGACACGGUCCAGACUCCUACGGGAGGCAGCAGUAGGGAAUCUUCCGCAAUGGGCGAAAGCCUGACGGAGCAACGCCGCGUGAGUGAAGAAGGUCUUCGGAUCGUAAAACUCUGUUAUUAGGGAAGAACAAAUGUGUAAGUAACUAUGCACGUCUUGACGGUACCUAAUCAGAAAGCCACGGCUAACUACGUG
rnacentral:rRNA from 1 species